rnacentral:rRNA from 1 species
AUUGAACGCUGGCGGCAUGCCUUACACAUGCAAGUCGAACGGCAGCAUGGGUGCUUGCACCUGAUGGCGAGUGGCGAACGGGUGAGUAAUGCAUCGGAACGUACACGGAAGUGGGGGAUAACGUAGCGAAAGUUACGCUAAUACCGCAUAUUCUGUGAGCAGGAAAGUGGGGGAUCGCAAGACCUCGCGCUUCCGGAGCGGCCGAUGUCGGAUUAGCUAGUUGGCGGGGUAAAGGCCCACCAAGGCAACGAUCCGUAGCGGGUCUGAGAGGAUGAUCCGCCACACUGGGACUGAGACACGGCCCAGACUCCUACGGGAGGCAGCAGUGGGGAAUUUUGGACAAUGGGGGCAACCCUGAUCCAGCCAUGCCGCGUGAGUGAAGAAGGCCUUCGGGUUGUAAAGCUCUUUCGGCCGGGAAGAAAUCGCACAGGUUAAUACCUUGUGUGGAUGACGGUACCGGAAUAAGAAGCACCGGCUAACUACGUGCCAGCAGCCGCGGUAAUAC